rnacentral:rRNA from 1 species
GACGAACGCUGGCGGCGUGCUUAACACAUGCAAGUCGAACGGAAAGGCCCCAGCUUGCUGGGGUACUCGAGUGGCGAACGGGUGAGUAACACGUGGGUGAUCUGCCCUGCACUUUGGGAUAAGCUUGGGAAACUGGGUUUAAUACCGAAUAUGACCACUUCUUGGAUGUUGUGGUGGAAAGCUUUUGCGGUGUGGGAUGAGCCUGCGGCCUAUCAGCUUGUUGGUGGGGUAAUGGCCUACCAAGGCGGCGACGGGUAUCCGGCCUGAGAGGGUGUACGGACACAUUGGGACGGAGAUACGGCCCAGACUCCUACGGGAGGCAGCAGUGGGGAAUAUUGCACAAUGGGCGCAAGCCUGAUGCAGCGACGCGGCGUGGGGGAUGAAGGCCUUCGGGUUGUAAACUCCUUUCGCUAUCGACGAAGCCACUUGUGGUGACGGUAGGUAGAUAAGAAGCACCGGCUAACUACGUGCCAGCAGCCGCCGUAA